GACGAACGCUGGCGGCGUGCUUAACACAUGCAAGUCGAACGGAAAGGCCCUUCUUUUGUGGGGUGCUCGAGUGGCGAACGGGUGAGUAACACGUGAGUAACCUGCCCUUGACUUUGGGAUAACUUCAGGAAACUGGGGCUAAUACCGGAUAGCAGCUCCUGCUGCAUGGUGGGGGUUGGAAGGUUUCGGCGGUCGGGGAUGGACUCGCGGCUUAUCAGCUUGUUGGUGGGGUAGUGGCUUACCAAGGCUUUGGCGGGUAGCUGGCCUGAGAGGGUGACCGGGGCCAUUGCGCCUGAGAGACGGCCCAGACUCCAACGGGGGGCAGCGGUGGGGAAUAUUGCACAAGGGGCGGAAGCCUGAUGAAGCAGCGCCGCGUGCGGAAAGACGGCCUUCGGGUUGUAAACCGCUUUAGGCUGUGACGAAGCGUGAGUGACGGUAAUGGGUAAAGAAGCACCGGCUAAAUACGUG
rnacentral:rRNA from 1 species